CCCUUGACGUUCUGGGCCGCACGCGCGCUACACUGACCAGUGCAACAAGCAUCCGUCCUUGGCCGACAGGCUCGGGCAAUCUUUGAACGCUGGUCGUGAUGGGGAUAGACUUUUGCAAUUUUUGGUCUUCAACGAGGAAUUCCUAGUAAACGCAAGUCAUCAACUUGCAUUGAUUACGUCCCUGCCCUUUGUACACACCGCCCGUCGCACCUACCGAUUGAAUGGUCCGGUGAAGCCUCCGGAUUGGCGCGCACCUCGGUGCCGCCGAGAAGUUGGCUAAACCUUACCAUUUAGAGGAAGGUGAAGUCGUAACA
rnacentral:rRNA from 1 species